UUGUUCUCAAAAAGCAGAAAAAUAAUUUGUACAGCAGCGUGCAGACAGAUGGAUAGACGUAAAUAGUAGUAACGGUAGCCAGUCUACAGCCAAUAGCGAAAAGAUUGCAAUAUGAACGAUGCUUAAAAACAGCAUAGCAAAGAAAAAACAACAUUGCUGCUGCUGCUGCUACUGCGGCACAUCCUAUACAGUGAGGAAAAACCCCACCACAGCAAGCCGCGACCGGAAACGAUGUUGCCGACGAUUUCUGUCUGGUUCAAGUGAAACAGAAAUAGUUUUGCAUCCACCCAGUUUGCGUUCGCGGCAGAGCACCGAAAGCUAGAAAAAACAGCACCACCAUCACCAUCGAACGAGACACGGAGAGCGGAAAACGGAAACCGAACCGACGACAGUGGGUUUCCUCUUGCGUUGCUUCCCGCCGGUUAGCAAAGGCAGGACAGAGCAGGCAAUGCCAUUCGGUACAGGAAAGCGACAAAGUCAGCUUUACGGUAGCUGCAUUGAAUCGUGGCACACAGUGGCCCCACGGGGGAAGUGCUGAUGAGUGCUGAAGUUGUUCUUGUAGUCGGGAGAAGCAAAGUCGUGGCCUACCUUGGAUGGAGACGCAUGGUGGCGCAUGGUGAAUUGGCGCAAUGGUUAGCGCAUUUGGUACUUCGAUUUGCAACCGGCUAAAAAAAAAACAAGGGGCAAGCGCGAACGGAUGCUCAACACGCUCGGCUAAAGGAAAUGCUCGUUAUGAAAGUUUUACUCCGGCUACUCCACACAUACCAACCGUGUACUGUCAGCGAGGACCGAUACCAGAAAACCAACCAGAAAUCGUGCCGAGCGUGGGCAGGGAAAACUCCCCCUCUUACAAGCACGAAUAAGACACUUCCGGCCAACAUUCUGACAUCAUUUUCGUUCGUUCAUCCCGCAAAAUUGUUGUUACAGCCGUAACAGGCAGUCUGACGGAACAUUUGCUGUACAAUUUAGCUUCUUUCCUGCGGCAGAUAGAAUAUCCCAAUUUCCUUUGGUGGUGGGGGUGAGGGGUGGAUUUCGGGACCAAUAGAGAUAGAAUUUAUCAAUACAUCGACUACCUAUGGCCUUUCCCUAGUGGUACCAUAAUUACCAUUUUCCAAAUGAGAAGCACCACAUCUCCACCACCACCGGAAGCGGAAAUUUCAAUCACACGAAAAUGAUGUAAAAUCCAACAGUUGUUGUGCCGGUUUUGCGGUGACGCGACUGUAGACAAUUUUGGGUUUGGGAUAGGAGGGGGAAAGUGUUUUUGUAAAAUAAAACGCUAAAAUCAGUCGACAGUUAUAAGGAGCCGUCUGUCACUGAUGUAAUUAAAAACCGGCGGCCAGAAAUUGUAAACCUGCUCGUUUGCUGAUUGGACAAACCCAUAGAGGGGCACGAGAGAUACAUUCCGUUAAUGUAAUGUCGCACAUACCAUGGUAAUCAUAUAGUGUACAGCAGUUUCUAUAGAGCUU